rnacentral:rRNA from 1 species
AUUGAACGCUGGCGGCAGGCCUAACACAUGCAAGUCGAGCGGAUGAAGGGAGCUUGCUCCUGGAUUCAGCGGCGGACGGGUGAGUAAUGCCUAGGAAUCUGCCUGGUAGUGGGGGAUAACGUCCGGAAACGGGCGCUAAUACCGCAUACGUCCUGAGGGAGAAAGAGGGGGGUCUUCGGACCUCACGCUAUCAGAUGAGCCUAGGUCGGAUUAGCUAGUUGGUGGGGUAAAGGCCUACCAAGGCGACGAUCCGUAACUGGUCUGAGAGGAUGAUCAGUCACACUGGAACUGAGACACGGUCCAGACUCCUACGGGAGGCAGCAGUGGGGAAUAUUGGACAAUGGGCGAAAGCCUGAUCCAGCCAUGCCGCGUGUGUGAAGAAGGUCUUCGGAUUGUAAAGCACUUUAAGUUGGGAGGUAGGGCAGUAAGUUAAUACCUUGCUGUUUUGACGUUACCAACAGAAUAAGCACCGGCUAACUUCGUG